UACGGGGGGGGCAAGCGUUGUUCGGAAUUACUGGGCGUAAAGGGCUCGUAGGCGGCCAACUAAGUCAAACGUGAAAUCCCUCGGCUUAACCGGGGAACUGCGUCUGAUACUGGAUGGCUUGAGAUUGGGAGAGGGAUGCGGAAUUCCAGGUGUAGCGGUGAAAUGCGUAGAUAUCUGGAGGAACACCGGUGGCGAAGGCACUCUACUGGGCCAUUACUGACACUGAGAGACGAAAGCUAGGGGAGCAAAUGGG
rnacentral:rRNA from 1 species